rnacentral:rRNA from 1 species
GCUAGCUACAGGCUUAACACAUGCAAGUCGAGGGGCAGCAUUUUAGUUUGCUUGCAAACUGAAGAUGGCGACCGGCGCACGGGUGAGUAACACGUAUCCAACCUGCCGAUAACUCCGGAAUAGCCUUUCGAAAGAAAGAUUAAUACCGGAUAGUAUACGAAUAUCGCAUGGUAUUUUUAUUAAAGAAUUUCGGUUAUCGAUGGGGAUGCGUUCCAUUAGUUUGUUGGCGGGGUAACGGCCCACCAAGACUACGAUGGAUAGGGGUUCUGAGAGGAAGGUCCCCCACAUUGGAACUGAGACACGGUCCAAACUCCUACGGGAGGCAGCAGUGAGGAAUAUUGGUCAAUGGGCGAGAGCCUGAACCAGCCAAGUAGCGUGAAGGAUGAAGGCUCUAUGGGUCGUAAACUUCUUUUAUAUGGGAAUAAAGUUUUCCACGUGUGGAAUUUUGUAUGUACCAUAUGAAUAAGGAUCGGCUAACUCCGUGCCAGCAGCCGCGGUAAUACGGAGGAUCCGAGCGUUAUCCGGAUUUAUUGGGUUUAAAGGGAGCGUAGGUGGAUUGUUAAGUCAGUUGUGAAAGUUUGCGGCUCAACCGUAAAAUUGCAGUUGAAACUGGCAGUCUUGAGUACAGUAGAGGUGGGCGGAAUUCGUGGUGUAGCGGUGAAAUGCUUAGAUAUCACGAAGAACUCCGAUUGCGAAGGCAGCUCACUAGACUGUCACUGACACUGAUGCUCGAAAGUGUGGGUAUCAAACAGGAUUAGAUACCCUGGUAGUCCACACAGUAAACGAUGAAUACUCGCUGUUUGCGAUAUACAGUAAGCGGCCAAGCGAAAGCAUUAAGUAUUCCACCUGGGGAGUACGCCGGCAACGGUGAAACUCAAAGGAAUUGACGGGGGCCCGCACAAGCGGAGGAACAUGUGGUUUAAUUCGAUGAUACGCGAGGAACCUUACCCGGGCUUAAAUUGCAACAGAAUAUAUUGGAAACAGUAUAGCCGUAAGGCUGUUGUGAAGGUGCUGCAUGGUUGUCGUCAGCUCGUGCCGUGAGGUGUCGGCUUAAGUGCCAUAACGAGCGCAACCCUUAUCUUUAGUUACUAACAGGUGAUGCUGAGGACUCUAGAGAGACUGCCGUCGUAAGAUGUGAGGAAGGUGGGGAUGACGUCAAAUCAGCACGGCCCUUACGUCCGGGGCUACACACGUGUUACAAUGGGGGGUACAGAAGGCGGCUACCUGGUGGCAGGAUGCUAAUCCCAAAAACCUCUCUCAGUUCGGAUCGAAGUCUGCAACCCGACUUCGUGAAGCUGGAUUCGCUAGUAAUCGCGCAUCAGCCAUGGCGCGGUGAAUACGUUCCCGGGCCUUGUACACACCGCCCGUCAAGCCAUGAAAGCCGGGGGUACCUGAAGUACGUAACCGCAAGGAGCGUCCUAGGGUAAAACUGGUAAUUGGGGCUAA